rnacentral:rRNA from 1 species
CAGUCGCCACGGGAAUACGUAGGGUGCAAGCGUUAAUCGGAAUUACUGGGCGUAAAGCGUGCGCAGGCGGUUAUAUAAGACAGAUGUGAAAUCCCCGGGCUCAACCUGGGAACUGCAUUUGUGACUGUAUAGCUAGAGUACGGCAGAGGGGGAUGGAAUUCCGCGUGUAGCAGUGAAAUGCGUAGAUAUGCGGAGGAACACCGAUGGCGAAGGCAAUCCCCUGGGCCUGUACUGACGCUCAUGCACGAAAGCGUGGGGAGCAAACAGGAUUAGAUACCCUGUAGUCCCUGUCUCUUAUACA